rnacentral:rRNA from 1 species
CAAAGUGGGGGACCUUCGGGCCUCAUGCCAUCAGAUGUGCCCAGAUGGGAUUAGCUAGUAGGUGGGGUAACGGCUCACCUAGGCGACGAUCCCUAGCUGGUCUGAGAGGAUGACCAGCCACACUGGAACUGAGACACGGUCCAGACUCCUACGGGAGGCAGCAGUGGGGAAUAUUGCACAAUGGGCGCAAGCCUGAUGCAGCCAUGCCGCGUGUGUGAAGAAGGCCUUCGGGUUGUAAAGCACUUUCAGCGGGGAGGAAGGCGGUGAGGUUAAUAACCUCAUCGAUUGACGUUACCCGCAGAAGAAGCACCGGCUAACUCCGUGCCAGCAGCCGCGGUAAUACGGAGGGUGCAAGCGUUAAUCGGAAUUACUGGGCGUAAAGCGCACGCAGGCGGUCUGUCAAGUCGGAUGUGAAAUCCCCGGGCUCAACCUGGGAACUGCAUUCGAAACUGGCAGGCUAGAGUCUUGUAGAGGGGGGUAGAAUUCCAGGUGUAGCGGUGAAAUGCGUAGAGAUCUGGAGGAAUAC